UACAGAGGGGGCAAGCGUUAUUCGGAAUUAUUGGGCGUAAAGGGCGCGUAGGCGGCUUUGCAAGUGACGGGUGAAAUCCCUCGGCUUAACCGAGGAACUGCCUGUCAGACUGUGAGGCUUGAGACCGGGAGAGGUGAGUGGAAUUCCCAGUGUAGCGGUGAAAUGCGUAGAUAUCGGGAGGAACACCAGAGGCGAAGGCGGGCUACUGGGCUGAUACUGACGCUGAUGCGCGAAAGCUAGGGGGAGCAAACGGG
rnacentral:rRNA from 1 species